UCCAUAUUACCACUGAGCAUUCGAUCGAAGAAGACAACCUUCCCCAAUAGAGGAGGACUCUUCUUUGGUCAAGGAUAUACGAGUAGCUGCGUUCCCCUGCUAGAACCUCCAAACAAGCUCUCAAAGUCCAUAUUACUGUUGAAUAGGAGC
ensembl:misc_RNA 7SK 7SK RNA